AGGCAUCAAAGUCAAACUUUGUGGAGCUGGUCCAAACCUUGCUGGAAGACCCAGCGAAGAGGGAACACUUUUUUCAGGAGGUGUUCCCAGUGCAGUACGGUACUAAGUAUGACACAGCACUGCAGAUUCUGGUGUGGGAGUUCUUCUCCAGAUUGGAGGAGCUGCUGCCGGUGCCCAGCUUUACACAGACAGCAUCUUGUCUCAGCCUUGCCUUCUCUGACCUGGAG